ensembl:snRNA U6 U6 spliceosomal RNA
GUGCUCGCUUCGGCAGCACAUGUACUAAAAUUGGAACGACACAGAGAAGAUUAGCAUGGCCCCUGCACAAGGAUGACAUGCAAAUUUGUGAAGCGUUCCAUAUUAAA